CCUACCCGAGUGACUUACGUAACUCACAAAUAGAUUAUUUGAUAGCGAGUUUAACAACAUGAUUCCGAUCAAGAUCAUGAGUCUGCUGCUGCUGGUUAUGAGCGCAGUGUCAGCCGAAUGUCCUGCUGGCUAUGAUGUCGUCGGAUCAACGUGCAUCCACCGUUUGAAGGAGGAUAUCUUUCGUAUGACGCUGCGGUCACUUACUGCCACCAUAACUUCGGCAGGCUGCCGGUGCUGCACGACUGCUCUUCCUUCCUUGAUGUCGCUACAUAUGCCGACGAUGGAUACUCAGCGGACGCCACCAACGGCUACUGGUUGGGUGCUACCAACUCUUCGGACACACACGUCUGGCAGUGGAGCGACGGCUCGGCAGUGCAAAUGGGCGCUCCGUUCUGGGCGAACAAUGUGGGAGCAGGAAGACAGCCCGAAGGCGGAACGGAGCAGAACUGUGCGAACCUCUACCACUUAACCCAAGGAGGCUGGGGGAUGCACGAUGCAGAUUGCCCAAGCCCCGGUUUUCCUUUGUGCUCCGGAACUCUUGUGAACGGCAUGUGCACCCAUCCUUUUGUCCUGGUGGGCACGCAAUGCGUGCACGUGAUUCAGACCGAGUACAGUUGGAGCGCUUCUCGCACUCAGUGUGGAUUAGCCGGAGGAGAUUUGAUCAUUCUAGAUGACUGCAACCAGUUGCACAAGAUGUACCUCUACGUCGCCG